UGCUGCGCGCAUCAGGGGCUGGAGUGGAGUGGAUAGCUUCUAGGCCCGUGCAGCGCGGUCGGA
ensembl:miRNA